rnacentral:lncRNA from 1 species
AGGUCGAAGUUAUCUUUUAGCUCAAUAAAAUACCGAUCUGAGGGUCGAGAUUAUUUUUCAGCUCAUACAAAUACCAAUCUGAAGGUCGAAGUUAUCUGUCAACUCAAUGAAAUAUCGAUCUAAGGGUCGAGGUUAUCUUUCAGCUCAUACAAAUACCGACCUCAAGGUUGAAGUUAUCUUAGAUUUUUAUCAAAUACCGAUCUGAAGGUCGAGGCUAUCUAUAAAAUACCGAUCUAAAGAUCGAAGUUAUCUUAGAUUUCUAUCAAAUAUCGAUCUGAGGG